rnacentral:rRNA from 1 species
CCUACGGGAGGCAGCAGUGGGGAAUAUUGGACAAUGGGGGGAACCCUGAUCCAGCCAUGCCGCGUGUGUGAAGAAGGCCCUCGGGUUGUAAAGCACUUUCAGUGAGGAAGAACGCCUGGUGGUUAAUACCCAUCAGGAAAGACAUCACUCACAGAAGAAGCACCGGCUAACUCCGUGCCAGCAGCCGCGGUAAUACGGAGGGUGCGAGCGUUAAUCGGAAUUACUGGGCGUAAAGCGCGCGUAGGUGGCUUGAUAAGCCGGUUGUGAAAGCCCCGGGCUCAACCUGGGAACGGCAUCCGGAACUGUCAAGCUAGAGUGCAGGAGAGGAAGGUAGAAUUCCCGGUGUAGCGGUGAAAUGCGUAGAGAGCGGGAGGAAUACCAGUGGCGAAGGCGGCCUUCUGGACUGACACUGACACUGAGGUGCGAAAGCGUGGGUAGCAAACAGGAUUAGAUACCCCUGUAGUC